GCCACUUCUGGAAGCGCGACGGAAACACCAGAUCGCUGCCCCGAGCCAGCGACGCCAGAGCCUGGCGCACCGCUGGGUCGUCAGGGUCGCGGCGCAGGGCUCGUAUGGGCGGGCGCUCCGGCAUGGUGGGCGUGGCUCGAGCAGGGAAGUCCCUCUCCUUCGGACGUGAUUGACAGGAUCGACUUCCUACGGCUUCGUACAGACACAAGGCCCUGCGCACCCACACUGGCCCUUCCCCCCUGCGGGCUGUCCCUCACGCACUCACCGUCCUGGGUCCCGUCGUUCUCAGCGCGGGCCGCGGCAGCGGUCGGGAGGCGGGGUUAGGGUCGGAGGUCGUGUUUCCGGGGUCCGCAUCGGGGGUCGCGGCGGCGGCGGGGUCAGAGGUCGUCCCUGGGUCCCGGAUGCGGCGGAGGGCGUGGCUGAGCGCGCGCUGCGUGUGAGGAUCGCCGAGCCAGCGCCGGAAGAGCUCGUCCACCUUCAGCUGUAGCCGCGGCGUCAGCGGCGCCAUGGCAACCAGAAGGUGCGGAGCCGGAAGUGGGCAGAGACUGAUGGCAGAGGGGCGGAGCUCGGCAGAGAACGGAAGAGCUGCGGUGGGAAACUUUCGAUAGCCGAGGAUUCCAAAUAAAAAUCAACAUACAGGCGCGGGGAGUGAUGGCGUCACCGACGCGACAGAUGUGGGGUGGAGUCGGGCGAAUCCCGGAAGAACGUGCGGCGUAUAACCUCAGUCGGCCGUGGGUUCCACGAGAGGCUGCGUUCCGGGUGAUGGCGACACGGGUUACGCGACAACGGAAGGGGCGUGGUUGCAUCCGCAAACGCUCGGCAGUCACGGUUUCAAAAUAAAAAAUGGAAAAAAAAAAAAAUCCUUGGCCCGGGCGCAGGCUGAUGGCAUCAGCAAGUCAGGUCGCCGCGUGGAGGCCGUGCGCGCAUGCGCAGUGACUUCCCCCGGCCACGGGCUCGCAUGCGCUGGGGGUGUGCGCCGGCUUGGGGUCCCGAUGCGUAUGCGCGUUGGGUUUCUGUUGCAGGCAGCGCACAUGCGCAUUGCGUUUACUUCCAAGUUGGCUGCACAUGCGUGUCGCAGAAGUGCGGGUCUGGCGAGUACAAAGAAGCCUGGCUUCGCGCAUGCGUAUCGUGACGUAUGACAGCGAGUAUGGCCUGGUGCCAUCAGUCAUCCUGGAAGCUCCGCUCACUUUUAAAAAAUAAUCUCAUUGG
rnacentral:lncRNA from 1 species